rnacentral:rRNA from 1 species
AAAAUAAUUUAUUAAUAAAAUCGUUUAAAGUUUUUAAUUAAAGUAUUAAUAGUAUAAUAAAUAGUAAAAGUAAAAUAAAAUUUUUAGAUCUUGUUAUAGUAAAAAGUAUUGUAAAAGAAUAAUGAAAUAAUUUAAAAAAUAAAUAAAAAGACAGUAAUUAUAAAAAAAUGUACCUUUUGUGUCAGGGAUAAUCAAAAUAAAAUAAUUAAUUUUAUGUAUCCCGAAAAAGAAAGAGCUAAAAAGUAUUAACGUAAUUUUGUGUCAUAAAAAAUCAAAAAUGCUUAUUUAGUGUUAAAAUAACAGUCGGUUUCUUUAAUUUCUGGUUGUAAGCAAAUAAAAUUCAAUUUUGUCUUUAGAAUAAAUAACUAACUUAAGACAAAGAUUUGUAGGGAUAAGCUUAUAAAUCUAAAUUAAUUUAGAGAUAAUAAAUUAAAGUUCAAUAAAGUAAAUUUAAAAUUAGUUACCUUUAAAAAGUGUUAUAACUUAUUAAUAAAACUAUUAUUUAAUUUUUAUAUAAUAUCCUAAUUAAUUAGCUUACUUUUAAUAAUUUAGUUCAAAAAGAAAUAAUGAUUAUAUUAGUAUAAUAAAAUGUAAAAUUAAGUUUAUAAAUAAAAUUAUAUAAAAAUUAUUUUAAUUUGUAAAAUAUUUUUAAGGAACUCGGCAAAUAUUAUUUCCGUCUGUUUAUCAAAAACAUUUCUUUUAGUAAAAAAUAAAAAGUAUGUUCUGCUCACUGAUUUAUUAAAUUUAAGAGCUGCGGUAUUCCUGACCGUGCUAAGGUAGCAUAAUAAUUAGCCUUUUAAUUGGAGGAUGGUAUGAAAGAAUAAACGAGAAAUAAACUGUUUCAAAAAUAUUAAUUGAAUCUAACUUUUAAGUCAAAAGGCUUAAAUAAAAAAAGAAGACGAUAAGACCCUAUAAAUCUUUAUUUAUAAUACAUUUAUUAGAUAAUUAUAAGUAUAACUCUAAUUUUGUGUAUUAGUUUAAUAUAUUGGGGCGAUAAAAAUAUAAAAUUUAACUAUUUUUAGAUAAAUACAUUAAAUAAUUGUAAUUUAAAUGAUCCUUGUUAAAGAUUAAAAAGUUAAGUUACUUUAGGGAUAACAGCGUAAUUUUUUUUGAGAGCCCUAAUCGACAAAAAAGUUUGCGACCUCGAUGUUGAAUUAAGAGUUCUUUGUAAAGCAGCAUUUACAAAAGAAAGUCUGUUCGACUUUUAAAUUCUUACAUGAUUUGAGUUCAAACCGGCGUGAGCCAGGUUGGUUUCUAUCUCUUUUGUUUUAAAAAUUUAUUAUAGUACGAAAGGAUUUAAUAAAUGUUAAAAUAACUUUAUAAGUGAACUUAAUUAACAAACC